AGGGUUUGAUCAUGGCUCAGAACGUACGCUGGCGGCACGCCUAACACAUGCAAGUCGAACGAAGUAGCAAUACUUAGUGGCAGACGGGUGAGUAACAUGUAGGUAUCUGCCCUUUGGCCUGGAAUAACACGAGGAAACUUGUGCUAAUACCGGAUAAGUCUUUACGGAGAAAGCUUUAUGCACCAUUGGAUGAGCCUGCACUUGAUUAGUUUGUUGGUGGGGUAAUGGCCUACCAAGACUGUGAUCAAUAGCUGAUUUGAGAGGAUGAUCAGCCACAUUGGGACUGAGACACGGCCCAAACUCCUACGGGAGGCAGCAGUGGGGAAUCUUGCACAAUGGAGGAAACUCUGAUGCAGCGAUGCCGCGUGAGUGAAGAAGGCCUUUGGGUUGUAAAGCUCUUUCGUCGGGGAAGAAAAUGACUGUACCCGAAUAAGAAGGUCCGGCUAACUUCGUGCCAGCAGCCGCGGUAAUACGAAGGGACCUAGCGUAGUUCGGAAUUACUGGGCUUAAAGAGUUCGUAGGUGGUUGAAAAAGUUGGUGGUGAAAUCCCAGAGCUUAACUCUGGAACUGCCAUCAAAACUUUUCAGCUAGAGUAUGAUAGAGGAAGGCAGAAUUUCUAGUGUAGAGGUGAAAUUCGUAGAUAUUAGAAAGAAUACCAAUUGCGAAGGCAGCUUUCUGGAUCAUUACUGACACUGAGGAACGAAAGCAUGGGUAGCGAAGAGGAUUAGAUACCCUCGUAGUCCAUGCCGUAAACGAUGUGUGUUAGACGUUGGAAAUUUAUUUUCAGUGUCGCAGCGAAAGCGAUAAACACACCGCCUGGGGAGUACGACCGCAAGGUUAAAACUCAAAUGAAUUGACGGGGACCCGCACAAGUAGUGGAGCAUGUGGUUUAAUUCGAAGAUACGCGCAGAACCUUACCAACACUUGACAUGUUCGUCGCGACUUUAAGAGAUUAAAGUUUUCGGUUCGGCCGGACGAAACACAGGUGCUGCAUGGCUGUCGUCAGCUCGUGUCGUGAGAUGUUGGGUUAAGUCCCGCAACGAGCGCAACCCUCACUUUUAGUUGCCAUCAUUUAGUUGGGCACUCUGAAAGAACUGCCAGUGAUAAGCUGGAGGAAGGUGGGGAUGACGUCAAGUCCUCAUGGCCCUUACGUGUUGGGCUACACACGUGCUACAAUGGUAUCUACAACAGGAAGCAAGACGGCGACGUUAAGCAAAUCCUUAAAAGAUACCUCAGUUCGGAUUGCACUCUGCAACUCGAGUGCAUGAAGCUGGAAUUACUAGUAAUCGUGGAUCAGCGUGCCACGGUGAAUGCGUUCCCGGGUCUUGUACACACCGCCCGUCACACCAUGGGAGUUGGUUCUACCUUAAGGCAAGGUUUAAAACCCUUGACCACGGUAUAGUCAGCGACUGGGGUGAAGUCAUAACAAGGUAGCCGUA
rnacentral:rRNA from 1 species